GGGGAUGUUUUGGAUUUGACUAAAAACUUUAGUAGCAUAAAUUGCAAGCAGAGGGAAUCUCUUAAAACUUCUUUAAUAAAUGCAAGAAAUAAUAACUUUACAAGUUCAAAUCUUGUAAUGGCUGCUUAAAUUAGCAGAGAGUUCUGCUGGAUUUUGCUUUGAGGUUCAGCUUAUACUCUUUUAAGACAUCAAAGCUUGCUUAAAAAUAUUUCAAGUUGAUUUUUAGGGACUUUUAAAUUUGAGAGUAAUUUGGCGGUUUGCUAGUUUUUCCAAACCUUAUUACUUAAAGAAAACACUAGCUAAGCUUGUAGAUAUUUAUGAUAUUAUUUUUAGGACGCGGGUUCAAUUCCCGCCAUCUCCAAUA
rnacentral:tmRNA from 3 species